rnacentral:rRNA from 1 species
UACGGAGGAUGCAAGCGUUAUCCGGAAUGAUUGGGCGUAAAGCGUCCGCAGGUGGCAAUGUAAGUCUGCUGUUAAAGAGUCUAGCUCAACUAGAUAAAAGCAGUGGAAACUACAUAGCUAGAGUACGUUCGGGGCAGAGGGAAUUCCUGGUGUAGCGGUGAAAUGCGUAGAUAUCUGGAGGAACACCGGUGGCGAAGGCGGCAUCCUGGACCGGCAUUGACGCUGAGGCGCGACAGCGUGGGGAGCAAACGAGG